CAGUCGCCGCGGUAAUGCGAAGGGGGCUAGCGUUGCUCGGAAUUACUGGGCGUAAAGCGCACGUAGGCGGCUUUGUAAGUUAGAGGUGAAAGCCUGGAGCUCAACUCCAGAAUUGCCUUUAAGACUGCAUCGCUUGAAUCCAGGAGAGGUGAGUGGAAUUCCGAGUGUAGAGGUGAAAUUCGUAGAUAUUCGGAAGAACACCAGUGGCGAAGGCGGCUCACUGGACUGGUAUUGACGCUGAGGUGCGAAAGCGUUGGGGAGCAAACAGGAUUAGAUACCCCCGUAGUCCCUGUCUCUUAUA
rnacentral:rRNA from 1 species